rnacentral:rRNA from 1 species
UACGAAGGGGGCUAGCGUUGUUCGGAAUUACUGGGCGUAAAGCGCACGUAGGUGGUUUGUUAAGCUAGCUGUGAAAUCCCCGGGCUCAACCUGGGCACUGCAGUUAGAACUGGCAAGCUAGAGUAGGGUAGAGGGGUGUGGAAUUCCAGGUGUAGCGGUGAAAUGCGUAGAUAUCUGGAGGAACAUCAGUGGCGAAGGCGACACCCUGGACUCAUACUGACACUGAGGUGCGAAAGCGUGGGGAGCAAACAGG